GACGAACGCUGGCGGCGUGCUUAACACAUGCAAGUCGAACGGAAAGGCCCUGCUUUUGUGGGGUGCUCGAGUGGCGAACGGGUGAGUAACACGUGAGUAACCUGCCCUUGACUUUGGGAUAACCUCAGGAAACUGGGGCUAAUACCGGAUAGGAGCUCCUGCUGCAUGGUGGGGGUUGGAAAGUUUCGGCGGUUGGGGAUGGACUCGCGGCGUAUCAGCUUGUUGGUGGGGUAGUGGCUUACCAAGGCUUUGACGGGUAGCCGGCCUGAGAGGGUGACCGGCCACAUUGGGACUGAGAUACGGCCCAGACUCCUACGGGAGGCAGCAGUGGGGAAUAUUGCACAAUGGGCGGAAGCCUGAUGCAGCAACGCCGCGUGCGGGAUGACGGCCUUCGGGUUGUAAACCGCUUUCGCCUGUGACGAAGCGUGAGUGACGGUAAUGGGUAAAGAAGCACCGGCUAACUACGUG
rnacentral:rRNA from 1 species